UACGUAGGGUGCGAGCGUUGUCCGGAAUCACUGGGCGUAAAGGGCGCGUAGGCGGCCUAAUAAGUAGGGGGUGAAAUCCUGCGGCUUAACCGCAGGGCUGCCUUCUAAACUGUCAGGCUAGAGCACAGUAGAGGCAGGUGGAAUUCCCGGUGUAGCGGUGGAAUGCGUAGAGAUCGGGAAGAACAUCAGUGGCGAAGGCGGCCUGCUGGGCUGUUGCUGACGCUGAGACACGAAGGCCAGGGGAGCAAACGGG
rnacentral:rRNA from 1 species